rnacentral:rRNA from 1 species
AUACGGAGGGCGCAAGCGUUGUUCGGAAUCAUUGGGCGUAAAGCGGGUGCAGGCGGUGAAGUAAGUCGGAUGUGAAAUCCCGGGGCCCAACCCCGGAACUGCAUUCGAAACUGCUUCACUAGAGUCCCGGAGAGGAAGGCGGAAUUCCCGGUGUAGAGGUGAAAUUCGUAGAUAUCGGGAGGAACACCAGUGGCGAAGGCGGCCUUCUGGACGGUGCCUGACGCUCAGACCCGAAAGCAUGGGGAGCAAACCGGAUUAGAAACCCCAGUAGUCC